rnacentral:rRNA from 1 species
AGUGAACGCUGGCGGUAGGCCUAACACAUGCAAGUCGAACGGCAGCACAGUAAGAGCUUGCUCUUACGGGUGGCGAGUGGCGGACGGGUGAGGAAUACAUCGGAAUCUACUUUUUCGUGGGGGAUAACGUAGGGAAACUUACGCUAAUACCGCAUACGACCUACGGGUGAAAGCAGGGGAUCUUCGGACCUUGCGCGAUUGAAUGAGCCGAUGUCGGAUUAGCUAGUUGGCGGGGUAAAGGCCCACCAAGGCGACGAUCCGUAGCUGGUCUGAGAGGAUGAUCGGCCAAACGGGAACUGAGACACGGUCAAGACCCCUAGGGGAGGCAGCAGGGGGGAAUAUGGGAAAAUGGGCGAAAGCCUGAUCCAGCCAUACCGCGUGGGUGAAGAAGGCUUUCGGGUUGUAAAGCCCUUUUUUGGGGAAAAAAAAGCAGCAGGUUAAUACCCCGCUGUUCUGACGGUACCCAAAAAAUAAGCACCGGCUAACUUCGU